CAGUCGAAGAUACCAGCUGGCUGCAACUGUUUAUUAAAAACACAGCACUGUGCAAACACGAAAGUGGACGUAUACGGUGUGACGCCUGCCCGGUGCUGGAAGGUUAAUUGAUGGGGUCAGCCGUAAGGCGAAGCUCCUGAUCGAAGCCCCAGUAAACGGCGGCCGUAACUAUAACGGUCCUAAGGUAGCGAAAUUCCUUGUCGGGUAAGUUCCGACCUGCACGAAUGGCGUAAUGAUGGCCAGGCUGUCUCCACCCGAGACUCAGUGAAAUUGAACUCGCUGUGAAGAUGCAGUGUACCCGCGGCAAGACGGAAAGACCCCGUGAACCUUUACUAUAGCUUGACACUGAACAUUGAGCCUUGAUGUGUAGGAUAGGUGGGAGGCUUUGAAGUGUGGACGCCAGUCUGCAUGGAGCCAACCUUGAAAUACCACCCUUUAACGU
rnacentral:rRNA from 1 species